UAUCAGUGCAGUUUGCUCAAGGAAGUCCUCACAUAUUGUACAGUAAUUCCUAAAAAUCACUUCUAAUUUUAUAAACACAAUCUCAGAUGAAGUUUCUUUUUGAGGAAACUGCGCUUUGUAAUAAUUGCAACAUUUUACAGAUUUUCUAGCAGUGGCGUAAAACACAUUUACUUUAACUACAAUCUGAGGUACUUUAUUGUAUUACACCACUACCUUUCAGCGGAAAACAUUUAAGCCAUAUAGUGGUUCGCGGAGGGAAGACAACGUCCCUUAGCUGUGAAGUCAUAACAUGUAACUAACUGAAGUGAGAUAUUGCUUUUAUAAUACGGGCAUCAAGUUUGUCAAUACGAAAAUUAUCGUCACAUUUACAUUUAAUUUGAUUUUUAUUAAUAAUUAAUAACUUAGCUGGCUGCCCGUACAUACCGGUGGCGGACCAGUCGCUGUGGAACGCAGCGCAGGUAACGUUAGCCUACAGUAGCAGCUAGCUAGCUAGCACAGACAGUUUCUUUGCUUAACGCCAAAGAAAGGCAGGCACACAACUACACAAACAAACUAACCGAUCGAGACAGCAGUAAGCCAUCAACUAACCGAGUGAGAUAGCGGUAGAACAGAAAUUCCCGUUUUCUGCUAGCUAUUCUUAGCUGGGAGCUGUGUGCAGUGACUGUCUCUACCUCACAAACAGAACACCUUGAGGGAAGAGUGAUUAGAAUACAGGUGCUGUGCUUCUCGAUGAGCCUAAUGAGGAUUAUCUGGGAGCUGUCUCCACACCUGUAACGUGUUGCCCAUUACUGCUCCUGCAGUAUAAAGAUCCAGAGUGAAGAGUCUGAUUAAAUAAUCAUUGGAGUAGCGGUGUGCGUGCGGCUUUCCCCCUGCUCCUCACCUUGGGGACAUAUUGUCCCCUGUCACUGAAACCUCGGGGACAGAAGGCUCCGCCGUGGGGAGGCUCAGCAGGGGAGCAAGGGGCUGAUGAAACGAAGAUCGGGUAAUGAAGGCAUGGCCCAUGGCUUCUGUGGCUCUGCCAUAUGUUUCACCAAAUGCAAAUUGCCCCCAAUUCAAACAACUUUUUCAUCUUGAUAUAUGCAAAUGUGUUUAUAAAUACUGGCUUAUAAAUAUAGCAUUACAGUUUUUAAGGAGGGAGCUUUGAGUCAUUUUCUCCCUCGCUCUGCUGUUGUUACGUGUGGCAGCGGCGCAGCGUGACAGGCUUUAACGAACAGGCUCGGACCUGGCAGCACCUAAUGGUGUCCUGGGGGACAGGAAGUAUGGGGGUCAAAGGGAGGGGAGCGCUGACUGGCCUGCGAACCAAUGAGAGCGGCCCUCGUGAAUGCCUCAUCCAAUUAAAAUUAGCCCAGUUAUCACACAAGCCAAUGACAAAUCAAAGUGGGCACACAUACAAAUGAGUGCUGGAGGUGACCACACAUUUGAACUUUUGGGAUUUUGAGUCACUUAACUUUUACUUAACACUCAUUCACAAUUAAGCAUGUUUAACCUUUGCUCAAAAUGCAAAAUAAAUAAUCUAUAAAAUAAAUAACUGGAUUAACAACAAAACUAAAAAGUUGAUUGUGUUUACAUGAGUUCUGACGAGUUCUGUGGGGCAACAUCACCUAAACACUAAGAGCUUAGAUUGUGUGUGUGUGUGUGUGUGUGUGUGUGUGUGUGUGUGUGUGUGUGUGUGGGUGUGUGUGUGUGUGUGUGUGUGUCGUGCUCAGAGCAAUGAACCCAAAACAUCAACAUCAAAGAGGCAAAAUGUUAAAUAAUGAUAAAGCCUUGAUUGCACUCUAAUUAACUUGAUUGAGCUACCCGAGAGCUAAACUGCUUAUAUAUUUCUAUUCUGACCUGGAAAAACUUUGUAACACAUCUUCAUCCAACAGUGGGGGAAAAACACUUUCAAUUAAGGGACAAAAAAAACAUUUUUUUUUUUUUUAUCUGAUUUUAAAUAUGGAUCAUUUAUCAGUCAGUUUUAGACAGUUAAUGUACGUCCUGUUGGCCCGCUCCUAACAUGUCACACCAGGUCGCCUCCUCCUGUAUCUCUGUAACUCAGGCCUGGUGAGGACAGCUGACGCCGUUAGCCGCUCCUGUUGGGGGGAGGGGGGUUGCAGUCAGGUGUCAGUCGCCGCGGUGAUGAUCAGAUUGUCACAGUCCCGCUGGUUCCCUUGGAGACGGCACCUGAGUCGAUGCCUGUGCCAACAUCUUCAUCAUCACCCGCGGAAACAGCAGCUGGCGGCUCUGGACCGGGCCGUGUGGCCAAGUGGGUCAGACCUCACUGAGGGUGGAGGGGCAGUCCACCGUGAUGUUGUUGUUGUUGUUGUUGUUGUAGUCAGGCGUGGUGCAUUAUGGGAGUAGAAAAUGUUUGUUU